UAGGGAAUAUUACGCAAUGAGCGAAAGCUUGACGCAGCCAUGCCGCGUGAGUGAUGAAGGCCUUCGGGUCGUAAAGCUCUUUUCUGAGGGAAGAAUGGUCGAUGCAGGCAAUGGCAUCGAAUUGACGGUACCUCAGGAAUAAGGAACGGCUAACUCCGUGCCAGCAGCCGCGGUAAUACGGAGGUCCCAAGCGUUGUUCGGAAUUACUGGGCGUAAAGGGAGCGCAGGCGGACAGGUCAGUCUGAAGUGGAAAUCCGGGGCUCAACCUCGGACUUGCUUCGGAUACUGCCUGUCUUGAGUUCGUGAGAGGAAGAUGGAAUUCAGGGUGUAGCGGUGAAAUGCGUAGAUAUCGGGAGGAACGCCAGUGGCGAAGGCGGCUUUCUGGCCCAUCACUGACACUGAGGCGCGAAAGCCGGGGGAGCGAACG
rnacentral:rRNA from 1 species